rnacentral:rRNA from 1 species
GACGUAGGGUCCAAGCGUUGUCCGGAUUCACUGGGUUUAAAGGGUGCGUAGGAGGGCAGGUAAGUCAGUGGUGAAAUCCCCAAGCUUAACUUGGGAACUGCCGUUGAUACUAUCUGUCUUGAAUACCGUGGAGGUGAGCGGAAUAUGUCAUGUAGCGGUGAAAUGCUUAGAUAUGACAUAGAACACCAAUUGCGAAGGCAGCUCGCUACACGAAUAUUGACUCUGAGGCACGAAAGCGUGGGGAUCAAACAGG